GGCAAUAUUGUUAUUAUUCUGUAAAUGAAUGCCUCGUCUCCUAAAGCCAGAGCUUACUCACUGUCCUCCUCAGUGGCUUGCUCAACAAAGACUAAGCUAAGCUACCUGUGCGGGCUAGAAAUUCUCUCUCUAAAAACAUUGCCGCUAAUUAAGUCGAUUCCCAGCAACUAUAAAAUCUGUCUUCUUCUUUCGUCGUCUCCCCGUUAAGCAGCUCUCUCUCUCUCUCUCUCUC
rnacentral:misc_RNA from 1 species